CCUACGGGAGGCAGCAGUGGGGAAUCUUGCGCAAUGGGCGAAAGCCUGACGCAGCAACGCCGCGUGCGGGAAGAAGGCUUUCGGGCUGUAAACCGCUUUCAGUAGGAACGAAACUGACGGUACCUACAGAAGAAGGAGCGGCCAACUAUGUGCCAGCAGCCGCGGUGAUACAUAGGCUCCAAGCGUUGUCCGGAUUUAUUGGGCGUAAAGAGCUCGUAGGCGGUUGAGUAAGUCGGGUGUGAAAACUUUGGGCUUAACCCAAAGAUGCCACUCGAUACUGUUCAACUUGAGUUUGGUAGGGGAGUGGGGAAUUCCUUGUGUAGCGGUGAAAUGCGCAGAUAUAAGGAGGAACACCGGUGGCGAAGGCGCCACUCUGGGCCAAUACUGACGCUGAGGAGCGAAAGCGUGGGGAGCAAACAGGAUUAGAUACCCUGGUAGUCCACGCGGUAAACGGUGGUCACUAGGUGCGGGUCUCUAACCAAUGAGAUCCGCGCCGUCGCUAACGCAUUAAGUGACCCGCCUGGGGAGUACGGUCGCAAGACUAAAACUCAAAGGAAUUGACGG
rnacentral:rRNA from 1 species